GCCAGGCAUGGUGGCACAUGCCUGUAAUCCCAGCAGCUUGGGAGGCUAAGGCAGGGGGAUCCCAAGUUCAAAGGCGAGGCACUAAGCAACUCAAUGAGACCCUGUCUCUA
rnacentral:sRNA from 1 species